UACGGAGGAUGCGAGCGUUAUCCGGAUUUAUUGGGUUUAAAGGGUGCGUAGGCGGCGAGUUAAGUCAGCGGUAAAAGCCCGGGGCUCAACCCCGGCGAGCCGUUGAAACUGGCUGUCUUGAGAUGUCGAGAGGUAUGCGGAAUGCGUGGUGUAGCGGUGAAAUGCAUAGAUAUCACGCAGAACUCCGAUUGCGAAGGCAGCAUACCGGCGCUCAACUGACGCUCAUGCACGAAAGCGUGGGGAGCAAACAGG
rnacentral:rRNA from 1 species